GCCCGGGUGGCGGAAUUGGCAGACGCGGGGGACUCAAAAUCCCUUUCCCCCUGGGGAGUGCGGGUUCAAGUCCCGCCCCGGGCA
rnacentral:tRNA from 1 species